rnacentral:rRNA from 1 species
UACGGAGGGGGCUAGCGUUGUUCGGAAUUACUGGGCGUAAAGCGCACGUAGGCGGUUUUGUAAGUUAGAGGUGAAAGCCCGGGGCUCAACUCCGGAAUUGCCUUUAAGACUGCAUCACUUGAACGUCGGAGAGGUGAGUGGAAUUCCGAGUGUAGAGGUGAAAUUCGUAGAUAUUCGGAAGAACACCAGUGACGAAGGCGGCUCACUGGACGACUGUUGACGCUGAGGUGCGAAAGCGUGGGGAGCAAACAGG